rnacentral:rRNA from 1 species
GAUGAACGCUGGCGGCGUGCCUAAUACAUGCAAGUAGAACGCUGAAGGAAGGAGCUUGCUCUUUCCGGAUGAGUUGCGAACGGGUGAGUAACGCGUAGGUAACCUGCCUGGUAGCGGGGGAUAACUAUUGGAAACGAUAGCUAAUACCGCAUAACAGUAGAUGUUGCAUGAUAUCUACUUAAAAGGUGCAAUUGCACCACUACCAGAUGGACCUGCGUUGUAUUAGCUAGUUGGUGAGGUAACGGCUCACCAAGGCGACGAUACAUAGCCGACCUGAGAGGGUGAUCGGGCACAAUGGGACUGAGACACGGCCCAGGCUCCUACGGGAGGCAGCAGUAGGGGAACUUUGGCAAUGGACGGAAGUCUGACCGCGCAACGCCGGGGGAGUGAAGGAGGUUUUCGGAUCGUAAAGCUCUGUUGUAAGAGAAGAACGAGUGUGAGAGUGGAAAGUUCACACUGUGACGGUAUCUUACCAGAAAGGGACGGCUAACUACGUG